rnacentral:rRNA from 1 species
UACGGAGGGAGCUAGCGUUGUUCGGAAUUACUGGGCGUAAAGCGCGCGUAGGCGGCUUUGUAAGUUAGAGGUGAAAGCCCGGAGCUCAACUCCGGAACUGCCUUUAAAACUGCAUCGCUUGAAUCCAGGAGAGGUGAGUGGAAUUCCGAGUGUAGAGGUGAAAUUCGUAGAUAUUCGGAAGAAACACCAGUGGCGAAGGCGGCUCACUGGAGCUGGUAUUGACGCUGAGGUGCGAAAGCGAUGGGAG